rnacentral:lncRNA from 1 species
CCGACAAGCCGCCUAGCGCCCAACAGCCCAACCGCCCAGGCGCCUAGUGGCCCGCCUAGGCCGCCUCGGCGGACGCCCAACCCCAGCCCGCCCAACUCCUCCGAUUUAGCACUACUCGAGUCGGAGAGCUGCCGCCCAGCCCCUAGGAGUCGCCUAAGCGGCCUGGGCGGCCGAGUUUUAGAACACUGGUCCGCCGUCACUGUUCACGUCUUCGAUCUCCUUCUAGGUUGCUCCACCGGCGCAACUGACACCAGAGGUCGACGAAGGAGAGCUAGGCGAGUCGAUCUAGGCCGGGUCCGCCGUUGUAGGUCACCAGAAAACGAAGAUGGAUUCGGGUCGGGUCGAGCGCAACCCGUAGGG